rnacentral:rRNA from 1 species
CACCUCUGUGCACCCCGUUCG